rnacentral:rRNA from 1 species
AUUGAACGCUGGCGGCAGGCCUAACACAUGCAAGUCGAGCGAGCGGCGGACGGGUGAGUAAUGUAUGGGGACUGCACGCUCGAGGGGGAUCACUACUGGAAACGGUGGCUAAUACCGCAUACUAUCGGAUAACCCAUAUGGGAUUCGCUAGUAGGUGGGGUAAAGGCCCACCUAGGCGACGAUCUCUAGCUGGACUUAGAGGAUGAACAGCAACACUGGGACUGAGACACUGCACAGACUCCUACGGAGGAAGCAGUGGGGAAUAUUGCACAAUGGGCGCAAGCCUGAUGCAGCCAUGACGCGUGUAUGAAGAAGGCCUUAGGGUUGUAAAGUACUUUCAGCGGGGAGGCGUUACCCGCAGAAGAAGCACCGGCUAACUCCGUGCCAGCAGCCGCGGUAAUAC